UACGAGGGGUGCAAACGUUAUUCGGAAUUACUAGGGCGUAAAGGGUGCGUAGACGGUGCGUUAAGUCUGUUGUGAAAGACUCCGGCCUAACUGGAGAGGUGCAAUAGAUACUGGCGUGCUAGAGGAUGAAAGAGAGAAGUGGAAUUCCCGGAGUAGCGGUAAAAUGCGUAGAUCUCGGGAGGAACACCGAUGGCGAAAGCAGCUUCUUGGUUCAUUCCUGACGUUGAGGCACGAAAGCGUGGGGAGCAAACAGG
rnacentral:rRNA from 1 species